AAAACACGUAUUGCCCCAAACUGCUUGAGAUAACUAGCCAACUAGGUGUAAGUGGGUCCCACCUGCAGGUUUUAAGAUUUCACAAUCAACGACUUGAAUGGUCCUAAAUUGAAUAAGCAAUCCAAAAAAAGUCCUAAGUUAGAGACAAACUUCCCAGAUGUUACGGUGACAGCGUUUCAAACUAAUAACAAACUCUCUAAACCGUGUUUCUACACCACGCAUUGUGUGUCCUCUAUGGCUGAACGUUGAAGUGAGAAAAAGGCAGGAAAUCACUGCUAUAGAGAGAUAGAGAGGCAGGAAUUCACUGCAACUGAGUUUUUCCGACUGUUUUCGUUACCAGUUAUACGGGAAAACCAUCUCAAGACAGACAGAAAGUCAUUGCAAUAGAGACUAGAGAGGCAAUGUUAAAUCAACUCUAAGAUCUGAUUCACAUUUAAGGCAAUGAAAACAGCAGAGGUCCUAUAAGCUGCUGUGUGAUGGUGACGGAUCAACGUCCGUGUGUGAAUUCUUGAUCCAAACCCACCAAUUUCGUACGUUUGGUAACAUUGACACCACGAAUCGUUUCACAGUUUUGUGCAUACAAACUAUAUCAACAACCAUUUGAAUUUAAUGAUAUAUUUCAGUUUCUGAUCCA